AGUGGGUGUAGCGUACCUACUAGCCUACGACGGGUACGGGUUGUGAGAGCAAGAGCCCGGAGAUGGAUUCUGAGACACGAAUCCAGGCCCUACGGGGUGCAGCAGGCGCGAAAACUUUACAAUGCUGGCAACAGCGAUAAGGGAACCUCGAGUGCCAGGUUACAAAUCUGGCUGUCGAGAUGCCUAAAAAGCAUUUCAUAGCAAGGGCCGGGCAAGACCGGUGCCGGCCGCCGCGGUAACACCGGCGGCUCGAGUGGUAACCGUUAUUAUUGGGUCUAAAGGGUCUGUAGCCGGCCGGAUAAGUCUCUUGAGAAAUCUGGCAGCUUAACUGUCAGGCUUUCAGGAGAUACUGUCUGGCUCGAGGCCGGGAGAGGUGAGAGGUACUUCAGGGGUAGGGGUGAAAUCUUGUAAUCCUUGAAGGACCACCAGUGGCGAAGGCGUCUCACCAGAACGGACCUGACGGCAAGGGACGAAAGCUAGGGGCACGAACCGGAUUAGAU
rnacentral:rRNA from 1 species